rnacentral:rRNA from 8 species
GCAUAUCAAUAAGCGGAGGAAAAGAAACCAACAGGGAUUGCCCCAGUAACGGCGAGUGAAGCGGCAACAGCUCAAAUUUGAAAUCUGGCCCCUCCGGGUCCGAGUUGUAAUUUGUAGAGGAUGCUUUUGGUGAGGUGCCGCCCGAGUUCCCUGGAACGGGACGCCACAGAGGGUGAGAGCCCCGUCUGGCUGGCCACCGAGCCUCUGUAAAGCUCCUUCGACGAGUCGAGUAGUUUGGGAAUGCUGCUCAAAAUGGGAGGUAUAUGUCUUCUAAAGCUAAAUAUUGGCCAGAGACCGAUAGCGCACAAGUAGAGUGAUCGAAAGAUGAAAAGCACCUUGAAAAGAGGGUUAAACAGUACGUGAAAUUGUUGAAAGGGAAGCGCUUGUGACCAGACUUGGGCGCGGCGGAUCAUCCGGGGUUCUCUCCGGUGCACUUCGCCGCGUUCAGGCCAGCAUCAGUUCGUCGCGGGGGAAAAAGGCUUCGGGAACGUGGCUCCUCCGGGAGUGUUAUAGCCCGUUGCAUAAUACCCUGCGGUGGACUGAGGACCGCGCAUCUGCAAGGAUGCUGGCGUAAUGGUCACCAGCGACCCGUCUUGAAACACGGACC